AUUGAACGCUGGCGGCAUGCUUUACACAUGCAAGUCGAACGGUAACAGGCCGCAAGGUGCUGACGAGUGGCGAACGGGUGAGUAAUGCAUCGGAACGUGCCCAGUCGUGGGGGAUAACUACUCGAAAGAGUAGCUAAUACCGCAUACGAUCUAUGGAUGAAAGCGGGGGACCGUAAGGCCUCGCGCGAUUGGAGCGGCCGAUGUCAGAUUAGGUAGUUGGUGGGGUAAAGGCUCACCAAGCCAACGAUCUGUAGCUGGUCUGAGAGGACGACCAGCCACACUGGGACUGAGACACGGCCCAGACUCCUACUGGAGGCAGCAGUGGGGAAUUUUGGACAAUGGGCGCAAGCCUGAUCCAGCAAUGCCGCGUGCAGGAAGAAGGCCUUCGGGUUGUAAACUGCUUUUGUACGGAACGAAACGGCUCUGGUUAAUACCCGGGGCUAAUGACGGUACCGUAAGAAUAAGCACCGGCUAACUACGUG
rnacentral:rRNA from 1 species